UACGUAGGGUGCGAGCGUUAAUCGGAAUUACUGGGCGUAAAGUGUGCGCAGGCGGCCGCGCAAGUCGAGUGUGAAAUCCCCGGGCUUAACUUGGGAAUUGCGCUCGAAACUACGUGGCUGGAGUGUGGCAGAGGAAGGUGGAAUUCCACGUGUAGCGGUGAAAUGCGUAGAUAUGUGGAGGAACACCGAUGGCGAAGGCAGCCUUCUGGGCCAACACUGACGCUCAUGCACGAAAGCGUGGGGAGCAAACAGG
rnacentral:rRNA from 1 species